rnacentral:rRNA from 1 species
CCCUUAGAUGUUCUGGGCCGCACGCGCGCUACACUGAUGCAUUCAACGAGUCCAACCUUGACCGACAGGUCCGGGUAAUCUUUGAAUCUGCAUCGUGACGGGGAUAGAUUAUUGCAAUUAUUAAUCUUCAACGAGGAAUGCCUAGUAGGCGCAAGUCAUCAGCUUGCGUCGAUUACGUCCCUGCCCUUUGUACACACCGCCCGUCGCUCCUACCGAUUGGGUGUGCUGGUGAAAUGUUCGGAUCGGCCGUUUGUCGCGGUUUCCGCGUCAUGUGGCUGAGAAGUUCAUUAAACCCUCCCACCUAGAGGAAGGAGAAGUCGUAACA